AAUUAUAAUUCUUAAAAGUUGGCCGAACAUGGCUAAUUUUUAGUCACUCUCAUGGCGAUCACUCGACCGCAUUUAAAACUUUUCUCAAAAUCUUUUUACUUCUUGGUUCCCUAUCAACGUAGCUUUAAGAUAAGCUAUUGUGCGACAAAUUUAAACUCAUUUUGUGGAAAAAUCUGCAAUAGAAACCUCUCUCAAAUAAAAGUAUUUUCGUCAUUAAAAGGAUGUGUCUCUUGGGUUUGUUUAUUAGAGUAGACCAUGUAUUUUAUACUAAGACCGUUUUACCAACAAUUCACUUUUUGGCAUAGACAAGAAAGCCUGUACAGUGUCGAUACCUCGAAAAACAUCGAAGCAUCGAACAUUUUUGAAUUUUUUUUUGGUCUUAAAAUUUUCUUUAGACUUCGCUGAGUCGGAUCAGCUAGGUCCAGAAGCUCGGAUGGAAAAUAUUCAAAAAUCGACCGACC